UACACGAGCUCUUCAGAAUCUGGUGGCUGCAGGAUAAUAUUCAGAAAGCAAGCACAUGCUUAGUGUUACUUCAAAUUGAUGCUGAC